rnacentral:lncRNA from 1 species
AUUAAUUCAUCAUAAUUUGAUGGCCUAAUCAGGAGGUGGUGGAAACUGAAGAAGGUGGGGCCCAGCUAGAGAAAUUGGGUCAAUGGGGCUGGUCUGGACGGUAUAUCUUGACCCCGGCCCCUGCCUGCACUCUCCCUGCUUCCUGACUGCCAUGAGCUGAGAAGCUGCCCUCUGCCACACCCUUCCACCACGGUGUUCUGCCGCAGCCCACGAGCAGGCCAAUGGGGCCCGCCAGCCAUGGACCGAGCCUCUGGAACCAGGAGCCAAAAUAAAUCUUUCCAUCUCUAAGUUGUGAUUCUCAGGUAUUCCUUCACAACCACAGAGAGCUUGCUAACAAAUCUUUCUUUCGUUUACUUAAGGCUUAAUUUGCUCUCUUUUUACCUAAUUUCUUAGGGUAGAAGGAGAAGUCAUUUAUUGGAGACAUUUCAGUGCAGGCAUUUGGUGCCAGAUGUGUCUCCAAGUACUGCUUGGUGGCAGCUCAUAAACUUGCUGUGUUUUAAUUUUCAUUCAAUUAAAAGCACUUUCUAUUUUCUCUCUUGCCUCUUUUCUUCUUUGGCUUACAGAUUAUUUGGAAGUGUGUUAUUUAGUUUCUCAAUGUUUGAGGAUUUUGCAGAGAUCUUUUUGUUAUUGAUUUUUAAUUCGAUUUUGCUAUGGUCAAAUACUUUAUGGGACUUGAAUCCUUGUGAAUUCUUUGAGACUUGUUUGAUGACCCUGAAUAUGGCCUGUCUUGGUGGCGUUUCUAUGUGCACUUGAAAAUAAGACUGUUGUUGGGUGAAGGGUUGUAUAAGUGUCAAUUAGAUCAACUUGGUGGAUUGUGUUAAGGUUUCUGUACCAUUGAGGAUUUUUUUUUGUUUGUCUCUUCUAGUCUUUAUUACUUCCC